ACGGAGGAUCCAAGCGUUAUCCGGAUUUAUUGGGUUUAAAGGGUGCGUAGGCGGGAGAUUAAGUCAGUGGUGAAAGUUUGCAGCUCAACUGUAAAAUUGCCAUUGAAACUGAUUUUCUUGAGUGCAAAUGAGGUAGGCGGAAUGUGUUGUGUAGCGGUGAAAUGCUUAGAUAUAACACAGAACCCCGAUUGCGAAGGCAGCUUACUGGGAUGCAACUGACGCUGAGGCACGAAAGCGUGGGGAUCAAACAG
rnacentral:rRNA from 1 species